rnacentral:sRNA from 1 species
GUGGAUUUUUGUUUUUUGGUUUUUUUUUUGUUUUUUUCCAGAGAACCAGAGGACGAAAACGAAGCUUCGUUCCUGAGGAAGAAAAACAUGAGGAAAGAGUUCCUAGAGAGAGAAGACAAAGACAGUCUGUGUUGCAAAAGAAGCCCAAGGCUGAAGAUUUAAGAACUGAAUGUGCAACUUGCAAGGGAACUGGAGACAAUGAAAAUCUUGUCAGGUAAGUUGGAUGCUAAAACCUUGUCUUUAGGGGAUGAAAGCUCUAUAUUUAUUUUCUCAUCACAGAAAAAAUAAAAAAACAAUUGCAGGAUAAGACCUUUCUUAACAUAUUAUAUAGUGGAAACAGUACUUUAGAAACAGAUUUCAUCCACUUCUUAACCUCUCACACAUGGUUAUACUCUGGAUUUAAAUGUAAAUAAGAGUGAUAAUCUGCACGUUUAACACAGGGAAUUAUUUUUCUCUUGACAAGAGAAAUUAACAGUGCUCUCUAUUUAGAGGCCAUGAAAGUAAUUUGAUCUAAACACUGUGUACUAAGAUUAUUAUGUUUUAUGUCAGAAAACAAUAAAGUUACUAAGCUCUGUUAGCAUAUUCUAAAUGUUUGAAAUUUAGAAGCAAUGGUGAGAAGACAGACUUUUUAUUGACAAGAACUUAAUUAGCACUUUCUUAUUGCUUAUCAAAACAAAUGUGUUAAAUGCUUCUCCCUUACGAAAUAAAGAAAGGUGAA